GUUUCCUUUAUUUCACUAAACAAAGCAUUUACCUUCUUCUUCGUUACGGGAAAAACAGAAGCAGAGGCGAGAAAGGAGAGAAAAGAGAGAAAGAAAAGGAGAGGAAGGGGGGAGAGAAGAAAAAGAAAAAGAAGGAAAAAGAAGAAGAAAAAGAAGAAGAAGAAGGAGAGAAGGAAGAAUUUAUAGGAAAAGAGAUAGGGUGAGGACGGAGGAAGAUUCAUCGGGAAUUCCCGCACUGACUUUCGGUCUGCAUAAAUCUAUUGUAUGGAAGUAGAGCUGAAGGAUAUUUAGCUCAAUCCUAUGGGGAAAUUAAAAUGGCUUAGGCUAAAGGACUAUUUCCCAUUCAAGUUUAAGUGUUACCCCCAAAGACACGCCCGUGAUGUUUGUUAAACCCAAAAUCUCACUUAUCCGUUAAAAAUUUUAGUUAAGAUUAAAGCUAAAACCAUCUUUUAAUAAAAAACUAAAGUUUUAUUACGGUUGACCCCCUUCAACUUGAAAAUCGUUAGAGGAAAUAACCUACAUCGGUGGUUAGGAAGUGAUCAACACAGAGAGUUGAGCCUGGAAGAAGAGCCAACACCACCGAAGACGGCCAUCUCUGACAACUCUGAUCAUGAUUUGCAAAUCCUAAGGGAGAAAUUUUAAUUUUUCAAAUUUCAGGAGGGGGAAUGAACAAAACCUUAUAUUUUUAAAAUUUUUUAUUAAAUAACUAUUUUGUCCUUAAUUAUAACUGUGAUUUUUAAAGGAUGAAUAAGAUUUUGGGUUUUUCAAACCUCAUUGGUGUAACUUUGGGAUAGCACUUAAACUUGGGGGUGAAAUAGUCCUUUGGCCUAUUUUAAUUUGAUGUUUUGUGCGGCUGUGGAGUUGAGUGUGAUUUAAAUUUAGUUUAUGGAUAAUUGAGGCUGUGAUUUAAGUAUAAGAAAAUCAUUCAUUUAAAAGCCUCCAAAGGCCAAAUGACUAUUUCCCACCCAAGGUAUAGUGUAAUUCAGAACUAAUAUUCGCUAACUUUUGAAAACUCAAACAGUCAACUAUGUGACAAAUUCUGUUAAAAUUUGCAUUUAUAAUUAAAGGCAAAAUCGUUAUUUCAAUAAUAAUAUUAAAAAAUAUAUAAAAUUCAUUAUAUUUUCUCCCUAAAUUUUAAAACUAAUAAAUUCACCCAUGCCAAAAUUUUUCAAACUUUGAAAAGUAACAUCCUCCCCCUGCCCCUAAAAUAAGUUUCUUCCCUCCCUCUUCGGUGACCAUCCAACGACUUACAAGUGUUUUCCUCUGUUCAGCUGGUCGUUCCUCACCAUCAAAAUGGUUGGCUGGCUGGCUGGCAUACGGAGGUGCGACGAAGAGAUUUCUGUCUCUUCGUCGCACUGUUGUGCAUUGGCCAACCAUUCCGAUGGUGAGGGAGGAAAAAAUCAAGAAGUCGCACUUUCAUGCGCCGGCUGAACGGAGAAAAAAGCAGAUUGAUUAUAGAUAGAUAAACUGUUGGGUGCUUUAGUUAGAGACCUUGUAAUUGAAAGAUUAAGAGAAAACGGAUCUCUUCUGGUACUAUAGUUCUUUGUAUAUUUUUAUUUUGAAUCAUUCACAAUCUAAAGAAGGUUUAUAAGAAAGAAAGAAAAUUUACUUCAAGGAAAACCUUCAACCUUCAAAUCAAACUUAGGAGAGUUAAAAUAUCAUGAAAAUUGCUUAAUUUUUAUUUAUCUCUGUUAAAUAAUUUAUAGGAAUAGCUUAAACAACUUUUCUUACAAAUAAGUCUGUACAAGUCAAAAACAACAAUAAAAGCAACAACCAUGUUGACUAAUUCAAACUAAACAAUCAAACAACUUGAUCUAAAUAGGCACUUGCUACAACAAAGUAGGAUUGACCAUUA